UAUAUGAAUAUCAUAACUAUAGUAAGUAGAAGUAAUACAGAAGUAUAUUAAUAUUUAUAAAUGUGGUAUAUAUUUUGUGGACUGUCGGAAUAGUUUGGUGUUGUGAUGCAUUAUAUUUGAAAUAUUUACAAAGAUUUCAAGAAAAUGGAAGUGUGAAACAAGUUAAAACCAUCUUUGAACCAAACUGAAGGAUUUAAAAAUUGAUAAAGAUUGCAAAAAUUGAGAUUCUAAAUUGCCAUCAUUUAUUAUGGCUUCCAUUAUUGCAUACAUAUGAAUAAAUGAGGCUAUCGCUUCUUCAGUGGGGACAGAAAGGCCCCCUCUUUCAACAGAAUGGGACCCAUAACCAGAAAUAUAAAUUUUAAUGGAAUCAUCUACAACACAAUCGGACAAGUAUUCGGUAUCGAAGAUUCCUGAGAAACAAGUCACAUCAGUAGGAAGAUCAUGAAGAUCGUUAUUAUUGUCAUCACAAAUUCGAAAUUUAUUUUUGAUUUCAGUAAGAGAAAACGAAUUUG